GACGAACGCUGGCGGCGCGCCUAACACAUGCAAGUCGAACGAGAGAGGAAGGGCUUGCUUUUCCGAUCGAGUGGCGAACGGGUGAGUAACGCGUGAGGAACCUGCCUCAAAGAGGGGGACAACAGUUGGAAACGACAGCUAAUACCGCAUAAGCCCACGGCUCGGCAUCGAGCAGAGGGAAAAGGAGCAAUCCGCUUUGAGAUGGCCUCGCGUCCGAUUAGCUAGUUGGUGAGGUAAUGGCCCACCAAGGCGACGAUCGGUAGCCGGACUGAGAGGUUGAACGGCCACAUUGGGACUGAGACACGGCCCAGACUCCUACGGGAGGCAGCAGUGGGGAAUAUUGCACAAUGGGGGAAACCCUGAUGCAGCGACGCCGCGUGGAGGAAGAAGGUCUUCGGAUUGUAGACUCCUGUUGUUGAGGAAGAUAAUGACGGUACUCAACAAGGAAGUGACGGCUAACUACGUGCCAGCCGCCGCCGUAA
rnacentral:rRNA from 1 species